AGUGUUGGAAUCCACUAGAAAUGAAAAUUUAGAUCUCUAUGUCAAUUCUGGUUUCCUAAAUACAUAGAAUGCACGCUCGUUGUGGGACACACUGCAUAGUUAUUGAGGGAAGGCACUCACAGUUACACCGGAAAAGUAGAAUUAUUAAGUUGUAAGGAAAAGAAAAAUAGACGAAGUAGUUUAUACAUAUUAUACUGUGGGACAAAAAGAUGUAUGCAAGGCAAAAGCGAAAUUAUAAGUUAGUAGUAAACAGGGACAGCGGGAUAACCCAAUUGAAUUGAGUUAAUUUUGAUGGAGUAAUUUUGAAUAUUAUUAAGUCAGGACUAAGAAAUAAGAAAAUGUAGAAAC